rnacentral:rRNA from 1 species
UCCUACGGGAGGCAGCAGUCGGGAAUUUUGCGCAAUGGGCGAAAGCCUGACGCAGCAACGCCGCGUGAGGGAUGAAGGCCUUCGGGUUGUAAACCUCUUUUGUCAGGGAAGAUGAUGACGGUACCUGACGAAUAAGUCACGGCUAACUACGUGCCAGCAGCCGCGGUAAUA